rfam:Canis lupus familiaris chromosome 19, whole genome shotgun sequence.
CGGGGGAGGCGGGAUCCUGGGCUGUGUCCCGGCGCCCUGUGCUCCGAAGCCUGCGCUGGUGGAUUCGCGCUCCCGGGCCGCGCAGCCCCCU